UGGCUCUGGCAACGAUGAAGAACGCAGCGAAACGCGAAAGGUAAUGCGAAUUGCAGAAUCAGUGAGUCAUCGAAUCUUUGAACGCACAUUGCGCCUCUCGGUAUUCCGGGAGGCACGCCUGUUCGAGCGCCAUUACACACUCCAAGCUUAGCUUGAUGUUGGUCGACGUGUUCCUGUGACAAGGGACAGGCGACUGGAAAGGGUUGGCGCCGCCGCCGGACCACGAGCGUAGCAAGACGAGAGUCGCAAAUCGCAUCGGAUGGGUUCUGGAGGGUGGCAGCCUGUGUUUUUGACUACAUCACAAACACAACACACACACGAGUUUGGCCUCGGAUCAGGCGGGGAUACCCGCUGA
rnacentral:misc_RNA from 1 species